AUUUUGUUUUUGUUUCAGAUACCAGCCCCAGGAUAUUUACAUCAGGACAGGUAACAUAUGCAUCGGAAACGAACGAGCCCAGAGAGAAGACCACGAAAGUACAGUCCUAGACCUGGAGAUGAUUAAUUGUAGAUACCUAGAUGAUGAUGCCUUAGAAGUUUCAGUGGUACAGCUUGAAGAUGGUUCCAUUGUACAUAGAAGAUGAAGAUGAGUUAGGUUAAACCUUGUUAGUUCAUUGACGUCAUAUGGACACGUUUGGGGGAAUCAGACACGUUUCUGAGUGGUACAUAUAUACAAUAACUAUCUGAUUUCCAUCUACAUGCAGAGUGAAAAAACAAAAUAAAGCUUCAGGAAUAGCAGUUCCAAGGAAGAUGGUAACAUAGAUCUUCAACUAACUCUGAGGCUCUGCCAUUAAAAAAAUAAAGAAGCAAGGACAACAGCUCCAAGGAAGAUUAUUACAUUGAUCAUCUUCAAAGUCUGAUGUGUGGCCAUUAAAGAAAUAAUGUUAUUUCUGAGUGGUACAUAUAUACAAUAACUAUCUGAUUUCCAUCUACAUGCAGAGUGAAAAAAAAAUAAAGCAGCUGAGCAGGGAUAGUAGUUCCAAGGAAGAUGGUAACAUAGAUCUUCAACUAACUUUGAGGCUCUGCGAGUCUGCCAUGAAAAAAAUAAAGAAGCAAGGACAGCAGCUCCAAGAAAGAUUAUUACAUUGAUAAUCUUCCAAGUCUGAUGUGUGGCCAUUAAAGAAAUAAUGUUAUUUCUGAGUGGUACAUAUAUACAAUAACUAUCUGAUUUCCAUCUACAUGCAGAUUGAAAAAAAAAAACAGCAGGAGGGAUAGUAGUUCCAAGGAAGAUGGUAACAUAGAUCUUCAAAUAACUUUGAGGCUCUGCGAGCCUGCCAUGAGAAAAAUAAAGAAGCAAGGACAGCAGCUCCAAGGAAGAUUAUUACAUUGAUAAUCUUCCAAGUCUGAUGUGUGGCCAUUAAAGAAAUAAUGUUAUUUUUGAGUGGUACAUAUAUACAAUAACUAUCUGAUUUCCAUCUACAUGCAGAGUGAAAAAAAAAUAAAGCAGCUGAGCAGGGAUAGUAGUUCCAAGGAAGAUGGUAACAUAGAUCUUCAACUAACUUUGAGGCUCUGCGAGUCUGCCAUGAAAAAAAUAAAGAAGCAAGGACAGCAGCUCCAAGGAAGAUUAUUACAUUGAUAAUCUUCCAAGUCUGAUGUGUGGCCAUUAAAGAAAUAAUGUUAUUUCUGAGUGGUACAUAUAUACAAUAACUAUCUGAUUUCCAUCUACAUGCAGAUUGAAAAAAAAAAACAGCAGGAGGGAUAGUAGUUCCAAGGAAAAUGGUAACAUAGAUCUUCAAAUAACUUUGAGGCUCUGCGAGUCUGCCAUGAAAAAAAUAAAGAAGCAAGGACAGCAGCUCCAAGGAAGAUUAUUACAUUGAUAAUCUUUCAAGUCUGAUGUGUGGCCAUUAAAGAAAUAAUGUUAUUUCUGACUGGUACAUAUAUACAAUAACUAUCUGAUUUCCAUCUACAUGCAGAGUGAAAAAAAAAUAAAGCAGCUGAGCAGGGUUAGUAGUUCCAAGGAAGAUGGUAACAUAGAUCUUCAACUAACUUUGAGGCUCUGCGAGUCUGCCAUGAAAAAAAUAAAGAAGCAAGGACAGCAGCUCCAAGAAAGAUUAUUACAUUGAUAAUCUUCCAAGUCUGAUGUGUGGCCAUUAAAGAAAUAAUGUUAUUUCUGAGUGGUACAUAUAUACAAUAACUAUCUGAUUUCCAUCUACAUGCAGAUUGGAAAAAAAAAAACAGCAGGAGGGAUAGUAGUUCCAAGGAAGAUGGUAACAUAGAUCUUCAAAUAACUUUGAGGCUCUGCGAGUCUGCCAUGAAAAAAAUAAAGAAGCAAGGACAGCAGCUCCAAGGAAGAUUAUUACAUUGAUAAUCUUCCAAGUCUGAUGUGUGGCCAUUAAAGAAAUAAUGUUAUUUCUGAGUGGUACAUAUAUACAAUAACUAUCUGAUUUCCAUCUACAUGCAGAGUGAAAAAAAAUUAAAGCAGCUGAGCAGGGAUAGUAGUUCCAAGGAAGAUGGUAACUUUGAGGCUCUGCGAGUCUGCCAUGAAAAAAUAAAGAAGCAAGGACAGCAGCUCCAAGAAAGAUUAUUACACUGAUAAUCUUUCAAGUCUGAUGUGUGGCCAUUAAAGAAAUAAUAUUGAAAAAAAAAACAGCAGGAGGGAUAGUAGUUCCAAGGAAGAUGGUAACAUAGAUCUUCAAAUAACUUUGAGGCUCUGCGAGUCUGCCAUGAAAAAAAUAAAGAAGCAAGGACAGCAGCUCCAAGAAAGAUUAUUACACUGAUAAUCUUUCAAGUCUGAUGUGUGGCCAUUAAAGAAAUAAUGUUAUUUCUGAGUGGUACAUAUAUACAAUAACUAUCUGAUUUCCAUCUACAUGCAGAUUGAAAAAAAAAACAGCAGGAGGGAUAGUAGUUCCAAGGAAGAUGGUAACAUAGAUCUUCAAAUAACUUUGAGGCUCUGCGAGUCUGCCAUGAAAAAAAUAAAGAAGCAAGGACAGCAGCUCCAAGGAAGAUUAUUACAUUGAUAAACUUCCAAGUCUGAUGUGUGGCCAUUAAAGAAAUAAUGUUAUUUCUGAGUGGUACAUAUAUACAAUAACUAUCUGAUUUCCAUCUACAUGCAGAGUGAAAAAAAAUUAAAGCAGCUGAGCAGGGAUAGUAGUUCCAAGGAAGAUGGUAACUUUGAGGCUCUGCGAGUCUGCCAUGAAAAAAAUAAAGAAGCAAGGACAGCAGCUCCAAGAAAGAUUAUUACAUUGAUAAUCUUCCAAGUCUGAUGUGUGGCCAUUAAAGAAAUAAUGUUAUUUCUGAGUGGUACAUAUAUACAAUAACUAUCUGAUUUCCAUCUACAUGCAGAUUGAAAAAAAAAAACAGCAGGAGGGAUAGUAGUUCCAAGGAAGAUGGUAACAUAGAUCUUUAAAUAACUUUGAGGCUCUGCGAGUCUGCCAUGAGAAAAAUAAAGAAGCAAGGACAGCAGCUCCAAGGAAGAUUAUUACAUUGAUAAUCUUCCAAGUCUGAUGUGUGGCCAUUAAAGAAAUAAUGUUAUUUCUGAGUGGUACAUAUAUACAAUAACUAUCUGAUUUCCAUCUACAUGCAGAGUGAAAAAAAAUUAAAGCAGCUGAGCAGGGAUAGUAGUUCCAAGGAAGAUGGUAACAUAGAUCUUCAACUAACUUUGAGGCUCUGCGAGUCUGCCAUGAAAAAAAUAAAGAAGCAAGGACAGCAGCUCCAAGAAAGAUUAUUACAUUGAUAAUCUUCCAAGUCUGAUGUGUGGCCAUUAAAGAAAUAAUGUUAUUUCUGAGUGGUACAUAUAUACAAUAACUAUCUGAUUUCCAUCUACAUGCAGAUUGAAAAAAAAAAACAGCAGGAGGGAUAGUAGUUCCAAGGAAGAUGGUAACAUAGAUCUUCAAAUAACUUUGAGGCUCUGCGAGUCUGCCAUGAAAAAAUAAAGAAGCAAGGACAGCAGCUCCAAGAAAGAUUAUUACAUUGAUAAUCUUCCAAGUCUGAUGUGUGGCCAUUAAAGAAAUAAUGUUAUUUCUGAGUGGUACAUAUAUACAAUAACUAUCUGAUUUCCAUCUACAUGCAGAAUGAAAAAAAAUAAAGCAGCUGAGCAGGGAUAGUAGUUCCAAGGAAGAUGGUAACAUAGAUCUUCAACUAACUUUGAGGCUCUGUGAGUCUGCCAUGAAAAGAAUAAAGAAGCAAGGACAGCAGCUCCAAGAAAGAUUAUUACAUUGAUAAUCUUCCAAGUCUGAUGUGUGGCCAUUAAAGAAAUAAUGUUAUUUCUGAGUGGUACAUAUAUACAAUAACUAUCUGAUUUCCAUCUACAUGCAGAUUGAAAAAAAAAACAGCAGGAGGGAUAGUAGUUCCAAGGAAGAUGGUAACAUAGAUCUUCAAAUAACUUUGAGGCUCUGCGAGUCUGCCAUGAAAAAAUAAAGAAGCAAGGACAGCAGCUCCAAGGAAGAUUAUUACAUUGAUAAUCUUCCAAGUCUGAUGUGUGGCCAUUAAAGAAAUAAUGUUAUUUCUGAGUGGUACAUAUAUUCAAUAACUAUCUGAUUUCCAUCUACAUGCAGAGUGAAAAAAAAAUAAAGCAGCUGAGCAGGGAUAGUAGUUCCAAGGAAGAUGGUAACAUAGAUCUUCAACUAACUUUGAGGCUCUGCGAGUCUGCCAUGAAAAAAAUAAAGAAGCAAGGACAGCAGCUCCAAGAAAGAUUAUAACAUUGAUAAUCUUCCAAGUCUGAUGUGUGGCCAUUAAAGAAAUAAUGUGAUUUCAGUGUUUUCAUGGAUGGGAGUAAGACUUGGUGGUAUAAUAUUUCUAGUAUUUAAGUUAGCAUUAGUUACUGCUUGUCAGUAUGGAUUGUUUAGAAUGGUCAUUGGAGCUGUCUUUUAAGAUAAAGAUUUUGGAUCCUUUUAGUUUGAAAGAUUGUCAGGAACAUGAAGAAACUGAAUCCAUAAUAAACAUGUGUACACAAACAGACAAAAUAACAACACUGGUUGAUACAAUUCUGGGAACCGGUGAAGAAGUUAAAAGUUUUACAAUAUACUGAAGACUUGCAAUGGAAAAUCCAGGAAACAGGUCUUUUACGAAACAGUAUGAGAGAGCCAAGAUGAUUGUUGGAUUUAAAAUGCUUGGAAAAUACAACCAAAUGAAGACAAAAAAUGCACUGCAUCAACAAACAAAACAACUACUGGAACGUUGGGGCACCAGUACUGAUUUCUGAUUCUAAAAACAAUUGUUCAAAAUCUUCUACAUGUUUAAGAAGACUGUACAUACAUGUAUAUAUAUAUAUAUUUAUAUAAGAAAGAAAAAAUUAAUGCAUGUGCUUGAAACUUGUGUACAUACAUGUAAUGAAUAGAAAAAAGGAAAGAAAAAAAAAAUGAAAACAAAAUGAAAAGAAAAAACAAAAAAGAAAGAAAAAAGAAAGAGAGAAAAUUCAAAAAAAGAAAAGAAAGAAAAGAAAGAAAAGAAAGAAAGAAAAUUCUAAAAAAGAAAAUUAAAAAAAAAAAUGAAAAAAAAAAAAAAA